rnacentral:rRNA from 1 species
CAGCCGCCACGGUAAUACGGAGGGAGCUAGCGUUGUUCGUAAUCACUGGGCGUAAAGCGCACGUAGGCGGCUAUUCAAGUCAGGGGUGAAAGCCCGGGGCUCAACCCCGGAACUGCCUUUGAAACUAGGUAGCUUGAAUCUUGGAGAGGCGAGUGGAAUUCCGAGUGUAGAGGUGAAAUUCGUAGAUAUUCGGAAGAACACCAGUGGCGAAGGCGACUCGCUGGACAAGUAUUGACGCUGAGGUGCGAAAGCGUGGGGAGCAAACAGGAUUAGAUACCCCCGUAGUCCCUGUCUCUUAUAC